AGUAAUGAAUGUGUCUGGUUCAACUUUGGCUUUCACACUAUGAUAGGAUGAGAUAGCAACCACCACUCAAGACUGUAGUUUAGGUUCAGCGGAGUCACUGACAAAAAAGAAAACACAAGGCCCAAGAUGAGGAGCUCGAGUUCUUCAUGUGGGAGCAGACCUUCAACUGGUCUUCCCGAGAUCCAGGUUCUACUAAAGAUAUUUGAUAAACCGAUACCUGCUUUUAUCUGGAACAAGAAAAACCCUCGGAUACGUGAGAGUAUUGCAG